GGUUAAGUGACUAAGCGUACACGGUGGAUGCCUAGGCAGUCAGAGGCGAUGAAGGGCGUGCUAAUCUGCGAUAAGCGUCGGUAAGGUGAUAUGAACCGUUAUAACCGGCGAUACCCGAAUGGGGAAACCCAGUGCAAUUCGUUGCACUAUCAUACGAUGAAUACAUAGUCGUAUGAGGCGAACCGGGGGAACUGAAACAUCUAAGUACCCCGAGGAAAAGAAAUCAACCGAGAUUCCCCCAGUAGCGGCGAGCGAACGGGGAGGAGCC
rnacentral:rRNA from 1 species